AUUGAACGCUGGCGGCAUGCUUUACACAUGCAAGUCGAACGGUAACAGGGUGCUUGCACCGCUGACGAGUGGCGAACGGGUGAGUAAUGCGUCGGAACGUACCGAGUAGUGGGGGAUAACGCAGCGAAAGUUGUGCUAAUACCGCAUACGUACUGAGGGGGAAAGCGGGGGAUCGUCGGACCUCGCGCUAGUGGCGCGGCCGGUGGCAGAGUAGGUAGUUGGUGGGGUAAGGGCCUACCAAGCCUGCGAUCUGUACCUGGUUUGGGAGGACGACCAGCCACACUGGGACUGAGACACGGCCCAGACUCCUACGGGAGGCAGCAGUGGGGAAUUUUGGACAAUGGGCGCAAGCCUGAUCCAGCCAUGCCGCGUGCGGGAAGAAGGCCUUCGGGUUGUAAACCGCUUUUGUCGGGGAAGAAACGGUGGAGGUUAAUACCUUCUGCUAAUGACGGUACCCGAAGAAUAAGCACCGGCUAACUACGUGCCAGCCGCCGCCGUAA
rnacentral:rRNA from 1 species